UACGAAGGGGUGCAAGCGUUACUCGGAAUCACUGGGCGUAAAGCGUGCGUAGGCGGUUGGUUAAGUCUGCUGUGAAAGCCCUGGGCUCAACCUGGGAACUGCAGUGGAUACUGGCCAGCUAGAGUGUGAUAGAGGAUGGUGGAAUUCCCGGUGUAGCGGUGAAAUGCGUAGAGAUCGGGAGGAACACCAGUGGCGAAGGCGGCCAUCUGGAUCAACACUGACGCUGAGGCACGGAAAGCGUGGGGAGCAAACAGGG
rnacentral:rRNA from 1 species